CUGCGAAUGGCUCAUUAUAUAAGUUAUCGUUUAUUUGAUAGUGCCUUGCUACAUGGAUAACCGUGGCAAUUCUAGAGCUAAUACAUGCUAAAAAUCCCGACUUCGGAAGGGACGAGCUUAUUAGAUUAAAAACCAAUGCCCUCUGGGCCCCUUGGUGAUUCAUGAUAAUUCUUCAAAUCGCACGGCCUUGCGCCGGCGAUGGUUCAUUCAAAUUUCUUCCCUAUCAACUUUCGAUGUUUGGGUAUUGGCCAAACAUGGUUGCAACGGGUAACGGAGGGUUAGGGCUCGACCCCGGAGAAGGAGCCUGAGAAACGGCUACUACAUCCAAGGAAGGCAGCAGGCGCGCAAAUUACCCAAUCCCGACACGGGGAGGUAGUGACAAUAAAUACUGAUACAGGGCUCUUUUGGGUCUUGUAAUUGGAAUGAGUACAAUUUAAAUCCCUUAACGAGGAACAAUUGGAGGGCAAGUCUGGUGCCAGCAGCCGCGGUAAUUCCAGCUCCAAUAGCGUAUAUUAAAGUUGUUGUGGUUAAAAAGCUCGUAGUUGAACCUUGGGCCUGGCUGGCCGGUCCGCCUCACCGCGUGUACUGGUCCGGCCGGGCCUUUCCCCCUGCGGAACCCCGUGCCCUUCACUGGGCGUGGCGGGGAAGCAGGACUUUUACUUUGAAAAAAUUAGAGUGCUCCAGGCAGGCCA
rnacentral:rRNA from 1 species